GGCGGCGUGCCUAAUACAUGCAAGUCGAGCGGAUUGAUGGGAGCUUGCUCCCUGAUAUCAGCGGCGGACGGGUGAGUAACACGUGGGUAACCUGCCUGUAAGACUGGGAUAACUCCGGGAAACCGGGGCUAAUACCGGAUAACUCAUUUCCUCGCAUGAGGAAAUGUUGAAAGGUGGCUUUUAGCUACCACUUACAGAUGGACCCGCGGCGCAUUAGCUAGUUGGUGAGGUAACGGCUCACCAAGGCGACGAUGCGUAGCCGACCUGAGAGGGUGAUCGGCCACACUGGGACUGAGACACGGCCCAGACUCCUACGGGAGGCAGCAGUAGGGAAUCUUCCGCAAUGGACGAAAGUCUGACGGAGCAACGCCGCGUGAGUGAUGAAGGUUUUCGGAUCGUAAAGCUCUGUUGUUAGGGAAGAACAAGUGCCGUUCGAAUAGGGCGGCACCUUGACGGUACCUAACCAGAAAGCCACGGCUAACUACGUGC
rnacentral:rRNA from 1 species